rnacentral:SRP_RNA from 1 species
GGUCGGGCCCCGUACGGUUGAGCCCUGUGAACCCCGUCAGGUCCGGAAGGAAGCAGCGGCAGCAGGGGUAGGCGCGUUACGGAUAUGUUCGGCUCGG